AACGCGAAGAACCUUACCUACUCUUGACAUCCAGAGAACUUAGCAGAGAUGCUUUGGUGCCUUCGGGAACUCUGAGACAGGUGCUGCAUGGCUGUCGUCAGCUCGUGUUGUGAAAUGUUGGGUUAAGUCCCGCAACGAGCGCAACCCUUAUCCUUUGUUGCCAGCGGUUCGGCCGGGAACUCAAAGGAGACUGCCAGUGAUAAACUGGAGGAAGGUGGGGAUGACGUCAAGUCAUCAUGGCCCUUACGAGUAGGGCUACACACGUGCUACAAUGGCAUAUACAAAGAGAAGCGACCUCGCGAGAGCAAGCGGACCUCACAAAGUAUGUCGUAGUCCGGAUCGGAGUCUGCAACUCGACUCCNUGAAGUCGGAAUCGCUAGUAAUCGUAGAUCAGAAUGCUACGGUGAAUACGUUCCCGGGUCUUGUACACACCG
rnacentral:rRNA from 1 species